AACAAGGCGUACCUGCGGACCUGCGGAGGGAUCAUUACACAAUAAACAUAUGAAGGCUGCACCGCCAACAGGCGGCAAGGCUGGAGUAUUUUAUUACCCUUGUCUUUUGCGCACUUGUUGUUUCCUGGGCGGGUUCGCCCGCCUCCAGGACCACAUGAUAAACCUUUUUUAUGCAGUUGCAAUCAGCGUCAGUACAACAAAUGUAAAUCAUUUACAACUUUUAACAAUGGAUCUCAGAUC
rnacentral:misc_RNA from 1 species